rnacentral:rRNA from 1 species
GACGAACGCUGGCGGCGUGCCUAAUACAUGCAAGUAGAACGCACAGUUUAUACCGUAGCUUGCUACACCAUAGACUGUGAGUUGCGAACGGGUGAGUAACGCGUAGGUAACCUGCCUGGUAGCGGGGGAUAACUAUUGGAAACGAUAGCUAAUACCGCAUAAUAUUAAUUAUUGCAUGAUAAUUAAUUGAAAGGUGCAAUUGCACCACUACCAGAUGGACCUGCGUUGUAUUAGCUAGUAGGUGAGGUAACGGCUCACCUAGGCGACGAUACAUAGCCGACAUGAGAGGGUGAUCGGCCACACUGGGACUGAGACACGGCCCAGACUCCUACGGGAGGCAGCAGUAGGGAAUCUUCGGCAAUAGACGAAAGUCUGACCGAGCAACGCCGAGUGAGUGAAGAAGGUUUUCGGAUCGUAAAGCUCUGUUGUAAGAGAAGAACGGGUGUGAGAGUGGAAAGUUCACACUGUGACGGUAUCUUACCAGAAAGGGACGGCUAACUACGUG